CAUGGUCUUGGAUGCUCAACAGAAGUGCUUGCCUUGGUGAUCCAAAAAAGGCAGGAUCCGGCCGGGGGCAAGGUGAUUAUUCUGUCUGAUGAGGAGAAUAAGAGCCAGUUUGUGGUAUUGACAGAAGAAUGAAAGUAAAGUCUUGAAAGAUGGGAAGAUCAGGAGCAGUCUGGAGUCAUGGUAUAUGAAUGAACUAGUGAGAGUGGGCACAAAGUCUGAAGAUCUUUGUAGUGCAGCUAAUGUCUAAGGGAGAAUAUACCUACCCUAGAAGAGACAUUAAACAACCAGCAUUUCUCCAUUAACUUUCCCCUAGGAAGCUUACUGCAGGAAAGAAAUCCCUCAGAGUCCUGAAGAUACAGCUUUCAGAACUUAGGUGAAGCAAGAGGACUCAAGGUGUGCAAGAAUGGACAGUACAGAAUGCUCUGCUACACUGCUCAGAUUCCCCCUUCAGGAAGGAAGGACAAAUUCACUCAACUUCUGGGAGCAUUGAUGGUUGAGCUCUCAGCCAUCAGACCUUUUUGGAAGUUGCCCUCUUCUGAAAAGAGGCACAUUGCCCAAGAUCUUUCCUCCUCCAGAGCGCAGGCUGCACCUGAAGUCUGAUUGAUGUGGGGUAUGAUGGUCUGGUCUCCUUUCCCCAUCUAAAGGACUGUUCUAACCUCAGGGCUCUCCUUGAGUUUCCUUAGUUAGUUCUUAUUACUAUGUUGCAGUCCAACUUCUUCUUUGGCCUAAUUCUACUUUCCUCCCAUUCCCCAAUUGUUGAUCCUGACAGCAAUUUCCCCCCAAAUUUCUGUAAACUAAGCAUGAUCUCA
rnacentral:lncRNA from 1 species